UUUGAUGGGUUUUCUCAGGAUGAACGCUGGCGGGGCCGCGGGAAUUCGAUUAGAGUUUGAUCCUGGCUCAGGAACGCUGGCGAGAAGCUUGCUUCUAUGACGUUAGCGGCGGACGGGUGAGUAACACGUGGGCAACCUGCCUGUAAGACUGGGAUAACUUCGGGAAACCGAAGCUAAUACCGGAUAGGAUCUUCUCCUUCAUGGGAGAUGAUUGAAAGAUGGUUUCGGCUAUCACUUACAGAUGGGCCCGCGGUGCAUUAGCUAGUUGGUGAGGUAACGGCUCACCAAGGCAACGAUGCAUAGCCGACCUGAGAGGGUGAUCGGCCACACUGGGACUGAGACACGGCCCAGACUCCUACGGGAGGCAGCAGUAGGGAAUCUUCCGCAAUGGACGAAAGUCUGACGGAGCAACGCCGCGUGAGUGAUGAAGGCUUUCGGGUCGUAAAACUCUGUUGUUAGGGAAGAACAAGUACAAGAGUAACUGCUUGUACCUUGACGGUACCUUUCCAGAAAGCCACGGCUAACUAGGUGCCAGCAGCCGCCCUAAUACGUAGGUGGCAAGCGUUAUCCGGAAUUAUUGGGCGUAAAGCGCGCGCAGGCGGUUUCUUAAGUCUGAUGUGAAAGCCCACGGCUCAACCGUGGAGGGUCAUUGGAAACUGGGGAACUUGAGUGCAGAAGAGUUUAGCGGAAUUCCACGUGUAGCGGUGAAAUGCGUAGAGAUGUGGAGGAACACCAGUGGCGAAGGCGGCUAAUUGGUCUGUAACUGACGCUGAGGCGCGAAAGCGUGGCCAGCAAACAGGAUUAGAUACCCUGGUAGUCCACGCCGUAAACGAUGAGUGCUAAGUGUUAGAGGGUUUCCGCCCUUUAGUGCUGCAGCUAACGCAUUAAGCACUCCGCCUGGGGAGUGCGGUCGCAAGACUGAAACUCAAAGGAAUUGACGGGGGCCCGCACAAGCGGUGGAGCAUGUGGUUAAAUUCGAAGCAACGCGAAGUUCCUUACCAGGUCUUGACAUCCUCUGACAACUCUAGAGAUAGAGCGUUCCCCUUCGGGGGACAGAGUGACAGGUGGUGCAUGGUUGUCGUCAGCUCGUGUCGUGAGAUGUUGGGUUAAGUCCCGCAACGAGCGCAACCCUUGAUCUUAGUUGCCAGCAUUUAGUUGGGCACUCUAAGGUGACUGCCGGUGACAAACCGGAGGAAGGUGGGGAUGACGUCAAAUCAUCAUGCCCCUUAUCACCUGGGCUACACACGUGCUACAAUGGAUGGUACAAAGGGCUGCAAGACCGCGAGGUCAAGCCAAUCCCAUAAAACCAUUCUCAGUUCGGAUUGUAGGCUGCAACUCGCCUACAUGAAGCUGGAAUCGCUAGUAAUCGCGGAUCAGCAUGCCGCGGUGAAUACGUUCCGGGGCCUUGUACACACCGCCCGUCACACCACGAGAGUUUGUAACACCCGAAGUCGGUGGAGUAACCGUAAGGAGCUAGCCGCCUAAGGUGGGACAGAUGUUUGCCAUGAAGUCGUACUUAGGUAAACACAAGG
rnacentral:rRNA from 1 species